AACAAACGCUGGCGGCGUGCCUAAUACAUGCAAGUCGAACGGGGAAAGCUUUCGGGUGAGUACUAGUGGCGCACGGGUGAGUAACGCGUGGAUAAUCUGCCUUAGAGUGGGGGAUAACUAGUCGAAAGAUUAGCUAAUACCGCAUAAGACCACAAGAACUGCGGUUCAAGAGGUCAAAGGUUUUUCGCUCUAAGAUGAGUCCGCGUAAGAUUAGCUAGUUGGUGAGGUAACGGCUCACCAAGGCAACGAUCUUUAACUGGUCUGAGGGGAUGAUCAGUCACACUGGAACUGAGACACGGUCCAGACUCCUACGGGAGGCAGCAGUAGGGAAUAUUGCACAAUGGAGGAAACUCUGAUGCAGCGACGCCGCGUGAGUGAUGAAGGCCUUCGGGUCGUAAAGCUCUGUCGCAGGGGAAUAACACAAUGAAUGUACCCUGUAAGAAAGGAUCGGCUAACUUCGUGCCAGCAGCCGCGGUAAGAC
rnacentral:rRNA from 1 species